AAAAAAACAACAACAAAACCCAACAAAAACCAAUAACCUACUUCAAAAUACAGGUACUGUAUCAUUAAGCUCUGCUUUUCACCUGUCUUUGGACUAACAGCACUUCCUAAAAGACUCCUAGCCCUGAGUUAGCUCAUGGAUGCAAAUCCUGUGUUGCAAUCAGGCUGUUCCCAGGCAGAGCUCAUGCAACGAAUAAAGCCAGGACGUGCCAAGAUUGCAAAGGGCUUUCACUCAUGAGCGACAGACACAAUCAACAGAGAAAAUCAGCCACUGCCUUUCAUCUCCUUACAAACACCUUGACAGCCAAGCCAGUGUAAACCAACAAGUAUAAGAGUCUUUCCCUCAGUCAUCACAGUAAUUCAGAGGGAGGAAAAGGCAGGGAGGAGAGCACAGAAGAAGAGGACCUGAGGAGCUGGGAUGAAGUGUCAGGACAAAGCGUCACAAUGAGACUGACAGCUGGCCACAGCCCCUUCAGCUCUGCUAAGCAUGGAUUUAAGGAUGCUGCACAACUGGACAAGCCUGGCAGAGCACACACACAGACUGGCUUCAGCAUCCAGGGUUGUAAUACAGCUGUAGCCCAUGCACAGGGUGGAGGUGAACAGACAAGGCAGAUGGAACAACCAUCUUCCAAAGGACAGCACGGGAGCCUUUUGCCUUACUGAUGGGGCUGGGGCAAGUCUUAUGCCAGUGAGAAAUUAAGGACAUGAGCAUAUGAGACAGGGUAAGAAAGAAAGAACUGGUUUGGGGUUGGGUCCAUCCUCUUGCUUGAGUAUUGUUUUUUGACACGCCAGUUCUGUUUAUUCUGAAGAUUUUGCUUUCCAGGCAGAUUGAAAAUUUCCCCAAUACAUCCUAUAACCCAAGAGUCAACUUGGUAUAUCAGAGAUAUACCAGUGAUGGAAAUACAAACUAAGACACAAUAAAAUAUAUAACUUUUUUCUGGCUGGGGAUGAGUUUAUGUUUAUUCUUUUCAUCCAUGUGAUAUUAUAAAAUUUAAGGGUGUCAAUAAAACUUCAGAUGAUUCUCUUGAAAAAGUAAAAAUCCCCUUUGACAGGAUUGUAGACUGAGAGACUUUCUGUGGGUAUCAAAGCAGGUUACUGUCUGAGACAGAACCAAAACCCAGGACUCUCAGCUCCUGUACCUAAUGAUAAUGUUGAACAUACACUCCCAGCACAGCCAUGAUGUAACAACAGUGUGUAGCUCUAUAAUCCUGUAGUAACCAAGUGCAGCCUUUUCCCAGCGUGUGCCAGUGAAAAGGAUGGCAAGAGAAUAGCAAAGGUCCAGGAUGCAUGGCUGCUCUGGGACUGCAGGGGGAAGCCACAUUAGCCUAUGGCUAGUACAUGGGUUUCUGUAAUCAGCUGGCUCUCUAUGUUAUUUCUAAUCCUAAGUGCACUGAAGUUAACUUUGAGGAGUCAAGAGCAAGAUGUGCAGUACCCUGGAAACUGAGCUUAAGCUCAAGAUUUUUGCACUGAUAUGGAUGUCCUUGAGAUUAGAAGCCCAAAGCACCAUAUUAAGUGAGGAGGGCACGCAGAACACAUUUGCUAGAACACAUCCUCAAA